rnacentral:rRNA from 1 species
GACGAACGCUGGCGGCGUGCUUAACACAUGCAAGUCGAACGGUGAAGCGCCUUCCUUUUUGGUGGGUGUGGAUGAGUGGCGAACGGGUGAGUAACACGUGAGUAACCUGCCCCCUUCUUCUGGAUAACCGCAUGAAAGUGUGGCUAAUACGGGAUAUUCUGGGUCUGUCGCAUGAUGGGUCUGGGAAAGAUAUUGUUUCGGUGGGGGAUGGGCUCGCGGCCUAUCAGCUUGUUGGUGGGGUGAUGGCCUACCAAGGCGGUGACGGGUAGCCGGCCUGAGAGGGUGAGCGGUCACACGGGGACUGAGACACGGCCCAGACUCCUACGGGGGGCAGCAGUGGGGAAUAUUGCACAAUGGGCGCAAGCCUGAUGCAGCGCCGCCGCGUGAGGGAUGGAGGCCUUCGGGUUGUGAACCUCUUUCGCCAGUGAAGCAGGCCUGCCUCGUUUGUGGGUGGGUUGACGGUAGCUGGAUAAGAAGCGCCGGCUAACUACGUG